rnacentral:rRNA from 1 species
AGGACGAACGCUGGCGGCGUGCUUAACACAUGCAAGUCGAACGGUGAACCAGGGCUUGCCCUGGGAAUCAGUGGCGAACGGGUGAGUAACACGUGACCAACCUGCCCCUUGCUCUGGGAUAACCCCGGGAAACCGGAGCUAAUACCGGAUACGAGACCGUGCGGCAUCACGCGGUCUGGAAAGUUUUUCGGCAAGGGAUGGGGUCGCGGCCUAUCAGCUUGUUGGUGGGGUAAUGGCCUACCAAGGCGACGACGGGUA